CCGUCGCACGAUAAUAAUCCAAUCCCGCUCCCCGCGAGUCUCCCAUCGAUACGCUUCUCGGCCGCCGCCACAGCGCCACCCCCAGCUCCCACUACGCCGCUCCCUCCACCGGCGCGACAUCUCCUCCAUCCGCUGGUCGUCGCGCCGUACCCCGCACGCUGCCGCCCACGCCUCCUCACUCCUUCGUCGGCCCUUCUGCACCGAUUGUGCCGGACAAUGUCGUCGCCGCUUCGUCGAGGGACCACGCCCCGAUUUGUCGGCGAGCAAUAUUGGAUGAUUAGCGGCGGCUACCAACACCAUGGCGCAGUCAGGGCAGCUCUCGGGCAACAGUGGAUCGGGCUCGGUUAGAAACUUUUAAUUUACUUGGAUGUGCUUCAUGCUCGGGCAGUAUAAUAGUCUAAACUGCAUUGUGUAACAAGUUCCACCUGCGUGCACAGGGUAUCUUCAAGGUUCAUGCUCUGAAUAUAAAUAAGAUUGACCAAGACAGCGAAUUGAUUGUAAAGAACGCGGAGAAAUUGGCUUCUGUUGCUUAUCUUAAACACUAUAUGGAUUAGAAGCUCUCGACCAUUCCUGAUCGAGAUUAGCCUUUGGAUGAUCCAAAACACCAUCCAGGAUGAUGGGCGAGUACAUCCCUGUUGCUUCAAUCUUGCAGUUCGUAAGCCUGCUUGCGCCGAAGUAGAGAGGAAUGCAAGCACUGGCUUUCUUGGAAGCAGGCACUUUUCCAUGCUCAAGCAUGAGCCCUAAGGCAGUCUUGGAUGUAACAAGAAAACCGCACCACGACGCUGGUUGGCCAUGUCAUAGGCCUUUUCCGUAAUCCGACGCGUUCAACUCUACAAUUGACUAUGCUGAUUCAUACGUCCAUCAACCCAUAACAAACCGAGGAAGCCCUAUUGCUGAAGCAAAAUUUUAGCAAUGUGUUGCAAGCGAGGAACCCUGGUUGGAGUGCCCAAUUCAUGGAUUGGCCAGAAGACAACAUUUUAAUUACAGACCCAUGACCCUGGAUUCAAAUUCCUACAGAAAAUGGACCAUCAGUAUGGUACUCUCAGGCAUGACAUGUUUAGAACUGACGUAAGUAUAUCUAUAGUGAGUUUUGGUGUGCCAUAUAUUUGCUAAAUAUAUGUACUGAGUUCGGCAGAGUCAUCUCAUAUUACUGGUAUGAGAGCAUUGCACAUGCUCCAUCGAAUAACUAUUUAUUAGUAAUUUCGAACUACAAUCGCCUAAUGUAAGGACUCUUUUUUUUGUACCUCUAGAAAUAUUUUAGUUGUGAUCUGAAAAUUUGUAUCCUUUAUCAAGCACAAGAUCAAUGGGUACAACUUUUAGAAGUACAUUUGUUUAGUGUUACCUAAGAGAUGUUUUUGGUUCAUAAGAUAUUGCUUUUUCUUGACUAUUUAACUUAGUUUCUGAAUGGGCACUUUUCUCUUCAAAUAAAACAUAUCAUUUUACUUAUUUGAUUAAUGUUUAUUUAGUUGUAUAAACAAAGCACUCGUGUUGUUGAUUGUUAUAGGUGACAUACUAAUUGGAACCUUAGUCAUAGUCAUGGUUGGAACUUCUUUUCUUAGGAUUUUCUUUGAUUGACAUAUUAUUUGUCGGGGUUGAUUAUUGAUUAUAUCUGUGUAAUGUGUAACUUAUCAUGUUCCUAACAACACCCUCCGUCCCAAAAUUCUUCUCUUAGAUUUGUCUAGAUACGGAUGUAUCUAACACUAAAACGUAACUAGAUACAUCCGUAUUUAGACAAAUCUAAGACAAGAAUUUUGGGACAGAGGGAGUAUUAUUCAAUGCAAACAGUUGUUCAAGAGGAACCUGUCUGGAACUUUGGCACCAUCUGCAGUCCUUUCUCCCAGUUGAAAACACUCCAAGAGUUGAUAAUUAAUGGAAUUUGUUGUGCCCAAAGGUAAAACCAGAGAGUAUUAGAAACAUCAUCGACAUGAAAGCAAACUUUGGAUCAUGUGCGAACAUGGAGAGAGGAAGAUCGAUGAGACCUUGAAGAAUCAUGUGGUUGACAUUUCAACUUCGGAUAGAAGGUUUUCCGCAUUAUGUUGGUUGGCUUUCAUUAAGAUCAAUGAGUCAUCCGCAAAGAGAAGAUUUGUGACCGGUGGGGCGUCUCUACAGACUUUUACUCCUGAUAUGUUUCCAUUCUUCUCAGCAUGCACAAGCAAGGCAUUCAAUUCUUAUGUGCACAGCAAAAAAAGGAAUCAUCACGAUCGCCGUAUCAUUCCAACCCUCCGGUAUAGUGCAUGUGUUGAUUGCUGUCAGAACAUCCUCCCAGCAUGGGCCAAAACCUUUUAUAGAAGAUAGCAUGGAGUCCAUCUGGCCCUGGAGCUUUCAAGUCCCCAAUAUCAAAUAAAGCCUUGCGAACAUCUUCCGCGGUAUAAGGGGCAAGUAGAACAUCAUUCAUUUCGUUUGACACUCUCCUUUGAACAAGUGAUAAAACAUCUUGAUUCGGGUGUUGAACUUCCGAUGUAAAAAGCUUUGUAAAAUAUCCAGUAAUGUGAUUCGUCAA